CGCGGUUCCGGCGCCGUUACUUUGAAAAAAUUAGAGUGCUCAAAGCAAGCCUACGCUCUGAAUACAUUAGCAUGGAAUAACGCGAUAGGAGUCUGGUCCUGUUCCGUUGGCCUUCGGGACCGGAGUAAUGAUUAAUAGGGACUGUCGGGGGCAUUCGUAUUUCAUUGUCAGAGGUGAAAUUCUUG
rnacentral:rRNA from 1 species